rnacentral:rRNA from 1 species
AAUUGACGGGGAGCACCACAACGGUGGAGCUUGCGGUUUAAUUGGAUUCAACGCCGGAAAUCUUACCGGGACCGACAGCAAUAUGAAGGCCAGGCUGAAGACUUUGCCGGAUUAGCUGAGAGGUGGUGCAUGGCCGUCGUCAGUUCGUACUGUGAAGCAUCCUGUUAAGUCAGGCAACGAGCGAGACCCACGCCCACAGUUGCCAGCGUACUCUCUGGAGUGACGGGUACACUGUGGGGACCGCCGCUGCUAAAGCGGAGGAAGGAAUGGGCAACGGUAGGUCAGUAUGCCCCGAAUAUCCCGGGCUACACGCGAGCUACAAUGGUUGGUACAAUGGGUAUCUACCCCGAAAGGGGACGGGAAUCUCCCAAAACCAAUCUUAGUUCGGAUUGAGGGCUGCAACUCGCCCUCAUGAAGCUGGAAUCCGUAGUAAUCGCGUUUCAACAGAACGCGGUGAACACGUCCCUGCUCCUU